GGUGGAAGCGUGGAGUCUUAACCACUGGACCGCCAGGGAAGUCCCACAAACUCACCUUUAAAAGAAGGGAGCCUCAAUAAUGUCUUGUAUUUAAAUUCCAUUUCCCAAUGCUUACGGUUGACAUUCAUCUAAUUAGUGAUCUGAUUCAACCCAAAACGUUUUUAUGGGAUGCCUAUUGUGUGCCCAACAGAAAUACACUUUGAAAUUAAAAAUCUUUUUUUCUUGAUUGAAUUAUAGUUGACUUAAAAUAUUAUAUUUGAAACUAAAAAUCUUUUAUAUUGGAUAAACAUAAAGAGAAUUUAUAUCCCAGUGUUGCAAAUAUUGACCUUGCUGUUUCAGUAAAAAUCAAUUUAAAAGGAUUUUUUUCCCCAUUCCUUCCAAAACAACCUAGAAGAUAAUGGCAUUUCUCCCUUAAACAUUAUACAAGAAAAUCUCCUUUACAUUAAUAAAGUAAGAGACAGAAGUUUUUAAUUUACAUUUUUCCUUUUAGCAAAGAUUUUUUUCUAUUUUUAUUAAUUUUUAAUGAAAAAUAAUAAAUACACUUCUUACAAACAAUUGAAACAUUAGAAAAGGAUAUCCAGUGGGAAGUAGGUCCACAUCUCUCAGAAGUGUUCCAGGCACAUACAAACAUGUGUUUUAUAUCAAUUUAUAGCUCCAUCUUUGCACAUCAUCUUAUUCUCUGCUUUUUUUCACAGGUGCCAUGUAUUCUUCCGUACCCUGAUGUUUUUCACUUAAGUAAUUCUGGAGGUUUCCCCAGAACAGUACAUGUAGAUCAAGCUCAUUUUCAAUGCUGCAUGGUAUUCCAGGAUGGAGAUCUGGGGAGACAGAGUGGUAAGAAGAAUGGAAAAGAUCUUUCCUGAUUGAUAUUAUUGUGGUCAGUCUUCUCCAGACUCGGCAGAUAUUUUAAGGUAACUCUCUUAUGUGGGGAUCCUUCAGAAACCCACCGAUGAAAGGAGACACCUUCAUUAAAACAGACUUCCAGAUUUCCAUCAGUGACAGGCUUCUGGAGGGGCAGAGCCAAGUGGCAGCCCUUAACAGCCAGCAGCAAGGUGGGUGCAGUUACUAUAAUGGGCAGAGUGUCUGCAGCAGCAAAGCAGAGUAUUUCAGCACACGAGAAUCUUUGAUGUUUGUUCAUUGUCCAUGGUGGCCCUAGGACCAAAACAGAUCGGAAUUCUACUAGGAAUCACUUGAUUUAUGUAACUGGGAAAUCUCUAGAUCCAGUGACUAGAAACCUGAGCUCAAUGUAGAGUCAUAGCUCAUCACCCAAGUCUCAGAUCUGAAUCAGCUGAAAGACAUAGAAAUGUCUGAUUUUGCAGCUGGGUCCAAGGAGCAGCGACAGCACCUGGGAAUUUGUUAGAAAUGUAAAUUUCCAGACCCUCCCCCAGCCCUACGGACGCAAACACUCUGGAGGAGGGUCCAGCAGUCUUUGUUUUAGCAGGCACUUCAGCUGAGUCCUGUGCAUGCUAAGGUCUGAGAACUCUGACCUUAAGAGAAGGAGAGGCUGGGAAGCCUUAGAAGGGACCCUGUAACAUUGCUAAGGAAGAUGGUUAUUGGAGAAUGACUGUGGAUUCUUAUGGAAUCAUUCAGGUACCGGACCAGAUGUAGCCUCUUUACUGGAUAACACAACACUGCUUCUGGUGCUUUGAAGGCAACCAUUGAUCUGGCGGUUGCUUUUUUUCCUCAACACCAAAUUAGCAAAGAUCCCCAGGUGGAGUUUGCUCCCAAUUAGCAGGAUCAGCAAAACACCCUCCCUGUCUUACCUCAGACCUCUGUGACUCUUCCGCUGUCUGACAACAUCCAGUCUGCAGGGGCCUUGAUCAUCUUGAUAUUCCCCAGAACACCAUGCUAAUAUAUUACAUUAUUGACACGACAUCGCCAGAUAUCCCAGGGGGAGCAAAACUGCUGUCACUUGAGAAUCCCUGGCCUACAGCAUGUCUAGCAAUACACUGAUCUACCAAGCCAUACGGUUGGCGUACACAGCAGCAAUUGUCGUCCAGUGUAGGCAGUGUACACCAGACUGGAGUUGAGCAGGUCCUGAAUGUGCAGAUGGUGGGGGAAGAAACUGUUUGGACCAGGUUCACAGAUGGUCCCUUACAAUUUGAAGGCAUCAGAUAGAUGUGGACUGUAGAAGCAUUAUAGCCCAAAGCAGGAAUGCGGAGGAACAUGGAAAUUCCAUCUGCAAAUCCUCAACGGCCCAUUGGAGAUCUCUUAAUGCAUGUGCUUUUCUUUUCAUGGGAAUUCCACAUGCAAGUUGUGAAGCAGAGGAAGGUGCUAUUAGAAGUACCAGGUCUGACAUCAACACGAAUUGGUUUUACCUCUUGCUGGAAAGUAGCUGAUCCAUCAAUAAGGAUCCCAUCCUCUUUCAAAAAUGAAUCGUUUAAUCAUGUCAAAAGAUCUCAAAGGCUGAUCAUAGGGCAAAAUGUGGCCUCCACCUCGAACAAUUACCUUAAAGAAGAAAAACAGAAGAAAAACUGAAAUCUAGAGAAUCAGAUAUUCCAGAUAAAUGGAAAGUUUUAAUUUGGAUUUAAGUAUUCUUAAAGCUUACAUGAAAUAAAGAA